UACGGGGGGGCAAGCGUUGUUCGGAAUUACUGGCGUAAAGGGCUCGUAGGCGGCCAACUAAGUCAGACGUGAAAUCCCCAGGCUCAACCUGGGAACUGCGUCUGAUACUGGAUGGCUUGAAUUCGGGAGAGGGAUGCAGAAUUCCAGGUGUAGCGGUGAAAUGCGUAGAUAUCUGGAGGAAUACCGGUGGCGAAGGCGGCAUCCUGGACCGACAUUGACGCUGAUGAGCGAAAGCUAGGGGAGCAAACGGG
rnacentral:rRNA from 1 species